AUGAACGCUGGCGGCGUGCCUAAUACAUGCAAGUCGAACGCUUCACAUAUGUGAAGAGUGGCGAACGGGUGAGUAAUACAUAAGUAACCUGGCCUUUACAGGGGGAUAACUGUUGGAAACGAUAGCUAAGACCGCAUAGGUGUGAUAACCGCAUGGAGAUGACAUGAAAUAUGCUACGGCAUAGGUAGAGGAUGGACUUAUGGCGCAUUAGCUAGUUGGAGGGGUAACGGCCCACCAAGGCGACGAUGCGUAGCCGACCUGAGAGGGUGACCGGCCACACUGGGACUGAGACACGGCCCAGACUCCUACGAGAGGCAGCAGUAGGGAAUUUUCGGCAAUGGGGGAAACCCUGACCGAGCAACGCCGCGUGAAGGAAGAAGUAAUUCGUUAUGUAAACUUCUGUCAUAGAGGAAGAACGGUGCGUGUAGGGAAUGACAUGCAAGUGACGGUACUCUAUAAGAAAGCCACGGCUAACUACGUGCCAGCAGCCGCGGUAAUACGUAGGUGGCGAGCGUUAUCCGGAAUUAUUGGGCGUAAAGAGGGAGCAGGCGGCACUAAGGGUCUGUGGUGAAAGAUCGAAGCUUAACUUCGGUAAGCCAUGGAAACCGUAGAGCUAGAGUGUGUGAGAGGAUCGUGGAAUUCCAUGUGUAGCGGUGAAAUGCGUAGAUAUAUGGAGGAACACCAGUGGCGAAGGCGACGAUCUGGCGCAUAACUGACGCUCAGUCCCGAAAGCGUGGGGAGCAAAUAGGAUUAGAUACCCUAGUAGUCCACGCCGUAAACGAUGAGUACUAAGUGUUGGGAGUCAAAUCUCAGUGCUGCAGUUAACGCAAUAAGUACUCCGCCUGAGUAGUACGUUCGCAAGAAUGAAACUCAAAGGAAUUGACGGGGGCCCGCACAAGCGGUGGAGCAUGUGGUUUAAUUCGAAGCAACGCGAAGAACCUUACCAGGUCUUGACAUCGAUCUAAAGGCUCCAGAGAUGGAGAGAUAGCUAUAGAGAAGACAGGUGGUGCAUGGUUGUCGUCAGCUCGUGUCGUGAGAUGUUGGGUUAAGUCCCGCAACGAGCGCAACCCCUAUUGUUAGUUGCUACGCAAGAGCACUCUAGCGAGACUGCCGUUGACAAAACGGAGGAAGGUGGGGACGACGUCAAAUCAUCAUGCCCCUUAUGACCUGGGCUACACACGUGCUACAAUGGCGUAAACAAAGGGACGCAAAACUGUGAAGCCGAGCAAAUCUCAAAAAUAACGUCUCAGUUCGGACUGUAGUCUGCAACCCGACUACACGAAGCUGGAAUCGCUAGUAAUCGCGAAUCAGCAUGUCGCGGUGAAUACGUUCUCGGGCCUUGUACACACCGCCCGUCACACCAUGAGAGUCGGUAACACCCGAAGCCGGUGGCCUAACCGCAAGGAAGGAGCUGUCUAAGGUGGGACUGAUGAUUGGGGUG
rnacentral:rRNA from 1 species